GUGACUUUGGUCUAGGUACUUAAUGUCUCUGAGGAUCUCAGUUUCCCAUCACGUGUAAAUCAUAGUUAGGGGGUAGAGUGUAAUAUAUGUUUCAAAUCCACAGAAUCCUUCCGUGCAUUUAAAUGCACAAAAGACCCCAGCAACUGUUGUUGCCCCUCCAGAAGGGCCCUGGGGGACAGGAAAGGGCAGAGACUAACUUUUCACCACAUACCCUUUUGAAUCUUUUGUUACAAAAUACAUAUAUCAUGUGCAGAUGCUCCCUAUUAAAACAUUAGUAAAAUAGACAGUUUUUUUAAAGGAAAAAGGAGAGCAUUUGUGAAGGCAACUAAGCACUGUGCCUGGCACUUGAUAAAAAAGCAUUUUCUCUCUUUCUUUCCCUCAGCCUAAUCCCAGCCAGUGUGCUGGCCAGGAGAGAGCUGGUGCUUUGUCACAUGGAGGGGAGGGGAGAGGACGGGAGCGAUGGAUGUGCAGGUGCAUGGAGGACUCGCCACCUGGAGAGUCUCACACACCUGCUCUCAGUCUUGCUCCUGUGUGCCUCACCAAUCUGGGCUCCCUUCCAGCCAGAGCUAAAGGCUAAAGGGUGGGCUCUCUGGAAAGGCCAAGGAUCCCCCGACCCCGCCUCUUGGGACAGGGUCACUGGGCUCUCUCCACCCAGAGUCCUGGGGGAUGCAGCAUUAUCCAGGGAGGGUGGGGCGGACGCAGAGGAGGGAGCAGAGUGCCACUGCAGCCAGUAUCUUGCUGGCUUGCCAGGCAGGUUAAGAACUCAAAAUUCAGCCCAGCACCAGGCAAAGAUGAGGCUGCUGCUGCCACUGUGUGUAGAAAAGCAGCUCAGUGGGACCAGAGCAGGCAGAGGCCAGGGCAGCAGGGGGAGAGUCUUCUGGGAACCAUGGUGGGGGUGGUCAGUGAACAGGGGGCUGCCCUGAACCGUCAAAGCUCCGGAAGUUCUGUGCUGGUUUAGGGGCCUUCAUUAAUCCAACAGAUAUUUAUGAAGACUCUAUUGUGGACAAGCAGUGGGACAUAGCCCUUUAGGCAAUGUGUUAGGGCCAUAAGAAGGGGCCUGUAAUACAGAUGGGAUUGAAGGGCAGAGGAAAAAACACCCAGCUCUACUGGCCAAGGCCUCUGAGCACCUACAAUGCACCAGCCACUGUGACUGAGUCUUUUUUUUUUAGACAGAGUCUCGC
rnacentral:lncRNA from 10 species